rnacentral:tRNA from 1 species
AUAGAUAUAGUCUAACAAAGACCUUAGAUCGUGACUCUAAGAAUGGGGGUUUAAGCCCCCCUGUUUAUC